UUAUUUGCUAUGAGGUUUUUACCCUGCAUGAUUGUUUGGCCUUUUAUGGCUCAGUUUGUGUGUGUGUGUGUGUGUGUGUUUGGGUUUGGGUUUGGCAUGAGAUGGAAGAUUUUUGAGCAUAGCUAGGGUUUUACUGUGCGUGUGUCUCCCACUCACACCUGGCAUGGGGUUCUACGUGCCUGUCCUGGGUUCCAUGUGUGUGUGUCCGGCUUGCUUUGACAGUGAUAAUAUUCAUACGGGGGUCUGUGUGAUUGGCUUGGGAUAUUGGAAUGGUCAACUAAAUCAGCUGAUGGACGGCCACACGUUUACUUAAGGGCCCCCAGUAGACAUGAAGAGCCCUGAGCGACGCUCCGGAGUGAGAUCCAACACACUGGGCAGGAAGGAGAGUAUCCAACUCAAGUGUAAAAGGAUGCAAGCGGCGUGUUCAGAUCAGUGACUUCAAACUAGGACAACACCAAUCAGGAUCAAUGGAGGAUGGACACCAAAAGGAAUUUCACAAGGAGAGUCUGACAUUGGAAAGGGACCCAAGUGGAUAUUCAAGAUGACCUUCAGACCUGUAAUGAGACGGCUCUUCCUACCUGGCUGGAUUGAUGGCGAGCCCUGUGGCUCUUGUCUUGCUCUCAGUUGCACGUCUUCUCAGGCUGAACUGUAUUUGUUUCGGACAGAACUAGCUGAACGAUUGGUUCCCUUAAAUCAGAACCAAUCCGGGAACUCCAGCUAGUGCGCUCUUCAAGCUGAAGUUGUGCUCUUCAGCUGAGGAUGUAAGGAAACCUUCACUGGGGCUUCAAGGUGUAAAGAGGAGAAUGUUUCAAAGUGUUCCAUGGUACUCUGAUGAAGACCGAUGUGUUCCACUGGCUGCGAGGAAGAACCCACACAUCUUCCUCUUGGCCUUUCUCCUCUGAGAAUCCUGGCACCAUCUUGAAGGAUAUUCCAGCUCAUGUAACUGAUGUCACGACAGAUUCUCAAAUACUUGGUUUCUCCUGAGGGGCGUGUCUAUGGAACUGAAGACUUCAGACAGCACUGUAUCCCAGCAUGCAUCUCUGCUCACUCAGACCACACCCCCAUGAGUAGGAUGCAACACUCUAGUGAUGGAGAUGUAGAGUUUUAUAAGUAACGAGGGAGCAGACUAAGGUGAUAAGAACACAAUGGAAUGUCAAGUCUAUAAAUCUUUAAACCAUGAAGAUGGUUGGAUAGUUCAGGAAUUGGGCUUUUUAUUAUGGGCAGUCCUUUCACUCAGAUGCCCACUUCUCACUGGAGCUGUACAUGUGUUGGCUGGCUGGCAUGAUUUGCUGUUGGUGAUGAAGUGGUCAGGGUGACGUUGCAGGGCUAUGGUCGGCUCUCUGUGAGGUCAACGUUUAGAUUUGCUCUGUAUGGUUUGUUCCCUGAAUAAUCUAGAUAAUUGUAAAAUAUAGACAGUUUUGUAUUGAAUGAUUUUAGGUUAAAAGUUGUUGUGGGACGUACAUGGUAGUUUGGUUCUUCGUAUGGUUUUGAGUGAUAUAACUUGUACACACUGGGUGCAUAAUAAUGUAAAGGUACACUGAAUAGUAUUAAUGACCAACAGCAACAAACAGAUCUCCUCAAGGUAAGUCUGUUGGCUGUGUUUUAAUGAAGACCAUCGCUGGACUUCAGGAUCUUCCUCCGUUCAGCUCAAGGUGAGGCGCUGGUUCUGUUUUUUCUUUGGUUGGUUCCGGCCGGAAUGUUCGGAUUCCAGUCGGACGGUUUGUGCUUCCCGCCGUGGAAGGUUCUGAGUGCGGUCACUUGAUUUAGUCCCAAUGGUUAGAAUAGAACAUUGUAGUCUUGACAACCAUAAGAAACCACCUGGCAGUUAGUUGGACGGGAGUCCCCUGAGGGAAUCUGGCGAAACGUUCUGGAUUGUAUUUGCGUAACCUCGAGCCGUUGCCAACAGAAACUAAAUUUCAGUCGGUUUCCAUUGGGAAUUGUUGCCCCCUAUCUUAAAUAACUAAAGUUUGAUAUUAAAUACAUACUAACACGUACGUCGUACAAUAUGUUGAUAAUUUCCGAUGGUUGCGCCGUACUUUUAACCACGAUGACGUUGCGGGACUCUCACUGCGUACAAAACAGCGUUCUACUUGCGGGCCCUAUUUUUGACAUCAAGGUGGAAGAUAAUUUGACAUUUCUUCAACGGAACCCAGCACCUGAAUAUGGCUGAGUAUAUUUGAUUUAAUAUCGAUACUGCUUAGUGUUCUUUGUUACUUCAGCUUUUGUACGUUCUAAAUAUCUGCUGUCUUUAAUUGCCACAGAAGUUAAACCAUACCCAAUGGAAUGAAGUUAAACAACGACUUUGGUGCAGAGCUAACAACUGGAUAAUAUAAAAGCUAAAAUAAUGGCCGUCAUUCCCACAUGUUACAGUAGAAGAUACUCUAGAACUGUACAAGGUUAAAAAAGUAACAUGUAGUUUGUCCCAAGGUGUCUGCCUCCUCACCAAGAGCAAGACCUCCACCUCCUCACCCAGAGCCAGACCUCCACCUCCUCACCCAGAGCCAGACCUCCACCUCCUGUCAGAAGUCCUCCAGAACAGCUGAAAGGCGAGGCUGAGAGGCUGGGGACCGGAGGCUUGUGGUGCCAGGGUGGACCGGAGACUGAGUCUGGAGACCAGGGGCCUGCAGCACCGGACCAGAGGGUAACCAUCACCAAGCUCAUCUGAAACACUAAAAUCCACGACCAGGAAUCCAUGGCUGAAGGAGGUGAUGGAGGAGCCGUGCUGAUGGAGGAGCCCUGCUGAAGGCCCUGGGCUGGUGGAGGAGCUGGAUGAGGGCCUGCCUGGUGAAUGACGUCUGUCGUGGGGUAGAUGGAGCCUGACUCUGAAACCAGGACUCUGUCUGAGGAGAGCUGCUGGAGGAGCUGAGACGCUGGAGGACGACUAGGAAUCGACCAACAAGGAUUCCUCAACGUGUUUCUAGAGCGGAGGCAAGCUGGUAGGGGAGCCGUGAAUCUGGAGGAUGACCAUCACUCUACCAACAAGGAUUACUUUAGGGCCAGACUCGCGCUGUUUGUUCCAGACCAGGACUCUGGCUGAGGAGUGCUGAUGGAAGAGCCAAGACUCUGGAGGACGGCAUCAAUCCACCAACCAGGAUCCUCGUGUCUGCCUCCUCACCCAGAGCCAGACCUCCACCUCCUCACCCAGAGCCAGACCUCCACCUCCUCACCCAGAGCCAGACCUCCACCUCCUCACCCAGAGCCAGACCUCCACCUCCUCACCCAGAGCCAGACCUCCACCUCUUGUCAGAAGUCCUCCAGAACAGCUGAAAGGCGAGGCUGAGAGGCUGGGGACCGGAGGCUUGUGGUGCCAGGGUGGACCGGAGACUGAGUCUGGAGACCAGGGGCCCGCAGCACCGGACCAGAGGGCCAGGAAUCCAUGGCUGAUGGAGGUGAUGGAGGAGCCGUGCUGAUGGAGGAGCCCUGCUGAAGGCCCUGGGCUGGUGGAGGAGCUGGAUGAGGGCCUGCCUGGUGAAUGACGUCUGUCGUGGGACCAGGACUCUGUCUGAGGAGAGCUGCUGGAGGAGCUGAGAUGCUGGAGGACGACUAGGAAUCGACCAACAAGGAUUCCUCAACGUGUUUCUGGAGCGGAGGCAAGCUGGUAGGGGAGCCGUGAAUCUGGAGGAUGACCAUCACUCUACCAACAAGGAUUACUUUAGGGCCAGACUCGCGCUGUUUGUUCCAGACCAGGACUCUGGCUGAGGAGUGCUGAUGGAAGAGCCAAGACUCUGGAGGACGGCAUCAAUCCACCAACCAGGAUCCUCACCAGGAAUCUGGAGGACUGAUGGAGAAGCCAUACAUCUGGAAGGCAAAACCUGAGGACCACCAGGACUCUACCAUCAAGGAUUCCUCAUAAAUGUGCAUUAUCUGGACAUAGUGGACAAGACACACCUGAGCUGAACCUCACCUGAUCCUGUUUGGUCGGGGGUAGACACACCUGAGCUAAACCCGCCCUGAUCCUGACAUCCUGCUGGUCCCGUCUCCUCAGUUCAUCUGAGCCUCGUCCUCCAGAAGACCUGCUGAACUCAGCAGUCUGAGGCUGAUGGAUCAAUGACCUCCAGUGGGAGUGAUCUUCUUGACCCCACAUGUAACCGUGUGCUUCCACACGCCUUUCCCUCACGUCUGUCACUAACCUCACUACUUCACUACUCUCUACUGCUUCCUCUUUUCUUCCUUCUCUGUGGUUCGAACCUUUACAUGGAAGGCGCGUCUUCCUGCCCUCAGAGGGUUCAGCGUUAGGGUUGAGAGUCAGGGUUUAGAGUCAGGGACACAGCUGGUCAGGGAGGACUGCUUUUACACAAACCUCUUCACUUGCUUUCGGAAUUGUGGUGACAUUUUGAAAAGAUGCAGUUGGGAAAAUGUUUUCCUCUGCUUUCCUUUACAAAAUUGUAUUAAACUUCUGUCAAGUGUUUUUGUUUAUAUAUUAAAAUCCCACAUU